UUAGUACUCCUUCCGUCCAAAAAUACUGGUCAUAAGAAUAGAUGUACCUAGAUAUAUUUUAGUUCUAGAUACAUCAUUUUUUAUUCAUUUGUGGGACAAGUAAUUUCGGACGGAGGGAGUACUAU
rfam:Hordeum vulgare subsp. vulgare, WGS project CAJW01000000 data, contig: morex_contig_1590940